UCAUCCUACGGGAGGCAGCAGUAGGGAAUCUUCCACAAUGGACGAAAGCCUGAUGGAGCAACGCCGCGUGAGUGACGAAGGGUUUCGGCUCGUUAAGCUCUGUUGGUAGUGAAGAAAGAUAGAGGUAGUAACUUGCCUUUAUUUGACGGUAAUUACUUAGAAAGUCACGGCUAACUACGUGCCAGCAGCCGCGGUAAUACGUAGGUGGCAAGCGUUGUCCGGAUUUAUUGGGCGUAAAGCG
rnacentral:rRNA from 1 species